UACGAAGGGGGCUAGCGUUGCUCGGAAUCACUGGGCGUAAAGCGCACGUAGGCGGCUUUUUAAGUCAGAGGUGAAAUCCUGGAGCUCAACUCCAGAACUGCCUUUGAUACUGGAGAGCUUGAGUCCGGGAGAGGUGAGUGGAACUGCGAGUGUAGAGGUGAAAUUCGUAGAUAUUCGCAAGAACACCAGUGGCGAAGGCGACACGCUGGGCCGUACCUGACACUGAGGCGCGAUAGCAUGGGGAGCAAACAGG
rnacentral:rRNA from 1 species